CCUACGGUGAGCAGCAGUGAGGAAUAUUGGUCAAUGGACGAGAGUCUGAACCAGCCAAGUAGCGUGAAGGAUGACUGCCCUAUGGGUUGUAAACUUCUUUUAUAUGGGAAUAAAAUGUUACACGUGUGGGUUUUUGUAUGUACCUUAUGAUUAAGGAUCGGCUAACUCCGUGCCAGCAGCCGCGGUAAUCCGGAGGAUCCGAGCGUUAUCCGGAUUUCUGGGGUUUAAAGGGAGCGUAGGUGGAUUGUUAAGUCAGUUGUGAAAGUUUGCGGCUCAACCGUAAAAGUGCAGUUGAUACUGGCAGUCUUGAGUACAGUAGAGGUGGGCGGAAGUCGUGGUGUAGCGGUGAAAUGCUGAGAUAUCACGAAGAAGUCCGAUUGCGAAGGCAGUUCACUGGACUGCAACUGACACGGAGGCUCGAAAGUGUGGGUAUCAAACAGGAGGAGAUACCCCAGUAGUC
rnacentral:rRNA from 1 species